UACGUAGGGGGCGAGCGUUGCCCGGAGUUACUGGGCGUAAAGCGCUUGUAGGCGGUCCACCAAGUUUGGGGUGACAGUUGCCGACUUAAUCGGCAAAGUGCCUCAAAGACUGGCGGACUUGAGGGCCACAGAGGGACAUGGAACUCCAGGUGUAGUGGUGAAAUGCGUAGAUAUCUGGAAGAACACCAAAGGCGAAGGCAGUGUCCUGGGUGGUCGCUGACGCUGAGAGGCGAAAGCCAGGGGAGCGAACGGG
rnacentral:rRNA from 1 species